UGGGCGAAAGCCUGACGGAGCAACGCCGCGUGAGGGAAGAAGGCCUUCGGGUUGUAAACCUCUGUUUUCAGGGAAGAAGAAAGUGACGGUACCUGAAGAGUAAGCCCCGGCUAACUACGUGCCAGCAGCCGCGGUAAAACGUAGGGGGCAAGCGUUGUCCGGAAUUACUGGGCGUAAAGGGCGCGUAGGUGGUUCAUUAAGUUAUAGGUGAAAGUUCGGGGCUCAACCCCGUGAUUGCCUGUGAUACUGGUGGACUUGAGUGCAGGAGAGGGUAGCAGAAUUCCCAGUGUAGCGGUGAAAUGCGUAGAUAUUGGGAGGAAUACCAGUGGCGAAGGCGGCUAUCUGGACUGUAACUGACACUGAGGCGCGAAAGCGUGGGGAGCAAACAGGAUUAGAUACCCUGGUAGUCCACGCCGUAAACGAUGGGUACUAGGUGUUGGGGGUAUCGACCCCUCCAGUGCCGGAGUUAACGCAAUAAGUACCCCGCCUGGGGAGUACG
rnacentral:rRNA from 1 species